rnacentral:rRNA from 1 species
GGGGAAUAUUGGACAAUGGGCGCAAGCCUGAUCCAGCCAUACCGCGUGGGUGAAGAAGGCCUUCGGGUUGUAAGGCCUUUUGUUGGGAAAGGAAUCCAGGCGGCUAAUAACUGGUUGGGAAGACGGUAACCAAAGAAAUAGCCACGGCUUACCUCCGUGCCAGCAGCCGCGGUAAUACGAAGGGUGCAAGCGUUACUCGGAAUUACUGGGCGUAAAGCGUGCGUAGGUGGUCGUUUAAGUCCGUUGUGAAAGCCCUGGGCUCAACCUGGGAACUGCAGUGGAUACUGGGCGACUAGAGUGUGGUAGAGGGUAGCGGAAUUCCUGGUGUAGCAGUGAAAUGCGUAGAGAUCAGGAGGAACAUCCAUGGCGAAGGCAGCUACCUGGACCAACACUGACACUGAGGCACAAAAGCGUGGGGAGCAAACA